GAUGGUUCCUGCUCUCCGGGAGCUGCACCGUAUUGAGGGGACUUAUGGUGGCCACACAACCAGGGUUGAUGAAAGAAUUCCAGGUUAUGCCCGUUGCUGCAGCCUCUUAGACGGUUAACGUGCCCUUCCACUAGCAGAAGUGUCACAGUGUGGAAAUAGAGGGUUCUGAAGAGACUAGACUGGGAGUUCUUAAAGGUCAGAGGUCUCAUUUUAUUCAUAUGUGCAUCCCCAGCGCCUGGCCUCUCGUAAGCAGUUAAUAAAAGAAAGACUUGCUAGGUGGGUGAGUGAGAACGUAAGUAGAUUCUUCACCUCGACUCUCUGAAUUUGGUCUCUGAAUUUCUGUUUACCGUUUAUCUUUGUGUGCUCGGGCCGCUAGGGUGCCUCUACUGCGUUUUGACUGAACCAGAGAUUUCAGAACUUCAGCUGGGAAUCGCUUUGGUUGCCUGUACACGCCCUGGUGGCCUGUAGCUUCAUGACUUGCGGGCUAAAUAGUAUUCCGUGUCUGGAUGUACUACAGUUUAUCUGUUCACUUACUGAAGGACAUCUUCAUUACUUCUAAGUUUUGGCAAUUAUGAAUAAAGCUGCUAUAAAUAUUCGUCUGCAGGCUUUUGAGGGGACAUGUUUUCAACUCAUUUGGUUAGACACCAAGGAAAGUGAUUGCUGGAUCACAUGGUAAGACUAUUUCUGUAAGUAACUGCCAAAGCUUUCUAUUUUUUACGUUUAUUCAACAGAUUUUAGUUGUAAUACCGUGAACAUGGUUAAUCCUCCAUCUACACUUAGUGUUAUAAUGAACACCCUCUCCUCAGUCUUUUUUUGUGUGUGAGGAAGAUUGGCUCUGAGCUAACAUCUAUGCCAAUCUUCCUCUAUUUAUUUGGGAUGCUGCCACAGCAUGGCUUGACGAGCAGUGCUAGGUCCACGCCUGGGAUCCGAACCUGAGAACCCUGGGCCACCAAAGCAGAGCACAUGAACUUAACCACUAUGUCAACAGGCUGGCCCCCUCUCCUCACUUUUAAGCCUACCGCUACCAUGUCACACAGAGAUGCUCAGAGUGGUGUUUUCAUCUGGAUCCAAGUAUAUUGUGGCCACAAAGUCUCAUAGCAUAAAAAUAGCAACAACAACAAUAAUAAUCUUGAUGAUAAUAAUAGCCAAGAAUUAUUGAUUACUUAGCAUUGUCAGGCUCUUUACAUGUGUUAUUUCAUUUCACCAUUACAGCUACCCUCUGGUUAGGUACCAUUACUACCCACAAUUUGGAGAUAAGAUCGAGGCUUAGGGAGAGUGAAUAACUUGCACAAGUGUUAGUGGUAAAGCCAAGUGUGCGUCCAUCUAGUUUUGCUCGACUCUGCUCAGCAAUGUAUUAUGCCAGAGUUAAGAGCAUGAGAUUUAGAGUCAGAUGGACGUAGGUUAGUAUUCUGGACCUACCAUUUUGCCAGUCAUGUGAUCUUGACCUGGUGACUUCUAGCUGCAGUGUGCCCAUCUGUAAAAUGGGAUAAUAACACCUACCCAUGGCAAAUGCUGUCUGUUGUCUCCUCAAUAGCUAUGGCCUCCCCACCACACAGAACCAGGUUCAGGUGUUAGGGAAGAGGCCCCAGAUCUCAGGGAAGAGAGGCCCCAUCCCAGCCUCCUGAAAUGAAUCAAGAUUGGUUUAAGUCAGAUAUGGUAAUGGUGGGCAUGUUAUCUAGUUUUGUUGGGGUAAGCAUGCUAGGGAGGGGUUCUCUUCCCAAGUAAAAAGACAAAGCCCCCCAUAGGGGAAGCUCAUACUUAUCUUUUCUUCCUGCCUGGAUGUUGGGCAUGAUACCUGGAGGUGCAGCAGCCAUCUUGCAAGCCUAAGCUGACAAGCUAAUAGACUAAAAUGGUAGAGCAGAAAAGAUAGAAAGAGCCUAGGUCAUUGACAGCAUCGUUAAGCUGUUCAACCAGCCCAAGACAGAAGACUACCUCCACGCUUUUUGCUAUUGAAACAGUUCUUACUUGUUUAUGCCACCCCAAGCUGAGUUGUCUUCUCUUUGCAGCUGAGAGCAUUUCUAAUAGAUAAACAGUUUUCCACCAAAGCACAGGGUUGAGUAACUUAGUAUGAUGGUUGAGAGCCCAAAUUCUAGACUUGGAGUUCUGGGGUUUUAUUCCUAGUUCUUCCACCAACCAGCUGUGUGACCUGGACAAGUCACUGAGCUUCUCUGUGCCUCACUGUCCUCAUCUGUAAAAUGCCCAAUAAAUGUGUACUGGGCAUCGAAUGAGGGAUAAUAGUGGUACUUACCUCCCAAGAUUAUUAUGAGCGUUCAUAAAAUGACUAAGUAUUUUAUAAAAUGACUAGAGCAUAGCCCGACACAUAGUAAGUGGUUAUACGCAUGUUUGUCAAAAAAAAAAACAAUUAAAGAAAAGGAGUCACUAUUACUGGCUUCAGUUUGAACCCCGAUGUGAUCCUUGGGCCACAUGCAGUAUUCAAGCAGAAGCUUGACCCUUUCACUCCCCAGACUCAUGGAGCAUGAAGCUCCCACUAAAAUCUGUCUCAAAGCAGCAACACGGUGGUUUCUUUUUAACAGAAAAGUCUCCUUAGAGCAGGUUGACUUAAAACAGGAGGGGCUGUGAUAUCAAGGCGUGUCAGGGAGUGAAUGACCGAAAUACCCAAACUUGCCCAUGCAAAUGGCUCUGAGUCUCCCCUGACUGCCCUUUAGAAGGUUCUAGACUUCUGUGAACUCCUUUUUGAAAGGGUCUUUCCACCAGUGGCUUAUUCUUUUGAAUCUCCUUACACCUUUCUUGCUGGUGGCUGGUGGGUGGGAGUGGGGAGGAAGGGGUGACACCUGCCUGCGUUCGGGGCCCUUUUCCCUUGUGAGGGACGAGACCACUGGCCAGUAUGUGAGGGAGCUGGCUGGACCUGGUCUCUCUCACUGUCUACUGCCCACAGUGCCAUCCUCUGUAAAGAGCAGAUUUGAAUUUGGGCAGCAACUCAGCAUUUUUUGGAAACCUAUCUCGUUUGUGAGCUUAAAGAUAGACGUGCCCAUUACCAAAUCCAGUGGAAUCUUCCUUCAAAAUAUAUGCCUGUUCCACUCCUCACCCUCGCCUCCAGAGACAGUCCACACCAAGCCACCUCCCCUUCUGCCUGGAUUACUGCCUCGUAACUGGCCUUCCCGUUU
ensembl:lncRNA